rnacentral:lncRNA from 1 species
UUUCCACAGUCCUCUCUUUCUUUCUUUUUAUCAGGUGAGAGUGUGUGUCAGACUUGAUUGGCCGCAUAAAUCGAGCAGAGGCAUUUGUUCAAGUCCAGCUGUAUUAUAUUAGAAAUGGAAAUUCUGCAUAUAUUAUAAUCAUGAAACAAAAAUAUUUGAUCUAUAUAGUUAAAUAAUUAAAUCCAAAUCUAGUUGCAAACCUCUCAUAUCAUUUACCUUUUUGUUAAUCAAAAAAUUUCGACCUUUUGCACAGUCGUUUGGUCAGGAACCAGUUACUGAUAAUCCAGUUCCCUGACAAAGUUCCAGGCUUGCUGCUUAGGAGCAGAAUUAAACCUUCCACAAGAGCUAUCUACGCUUAGAUACCU